rnacentral:pre_miRNA from 1 species
AUAGUACUCCCUCUGAUCCAUAUUAGUUGUCGCUCAAACGGAUGUAUCUUGGUGUAUUUCAGUUUUAGAUACAUCCGUUUGAGCUACAACAAAUAUGGAUCGGAGGGAGUAUUAC